UGCGGUUGAAACGCUCGUAGUUGGGAAUUUGUUGUAUAUUAUUGGUCUAUCCUAGUGGUCAGUACUGUAUAUGAAUGCAGCAUCGUCUUGAUUAUCUUUCUACACUUAACUGUGUAUUAUGUUGAAUCAAUCCGUAUACUUUGAAGAAAUGAGAGUGUUUCAAGCAACUUUAUUCAAGGAUAUAUUAGCAUGGAAUAACACAUUACGACCUCAUAUUGUGUCUGUUGGUUGCCGAGAUCGGGUAACAAGGAGGAGGAUAAUUGGUGGUAUUUAUAUUGCACAGUCAGAGGUGAAAUUCUUGGAUUUUUGCAAGAUGAUCGAUUGCGAAAGCAUUUGUCAAGAGUGUUUUUAUUGAUCAAGAACGAAAGUUAAGGGAUCGAAGACGAUCAGAUACCGUUGUAGUCUUAACCGUAAACCAUGUCGCCUAGAAAUUGGCGGGUAUAUAUUAUCAUCCCGUCAGCAACUUGAGAGAAAUCACAGUUUUGGAUUCCGGGGGGAGUAUGAUCACAAGAUUGAAACUUAAAGGAAUUGACGGAAAGGCACCACCAGGAGUGGAGCGUGCGGCUUAAUUCGACUC
rnacentral:rRNA from 1 species